rnacentral:rRNA from 1 species
AGCGUAGACGGUGUGGCAAGUCUGAUGUGAAAGGCAUGGGCUCAACCUGUGGACUGCAUUGGAAACUGUCAUACUUGAGUGCCGGAGGGGUAAGCGGAAUUCCUAGUGUAGCGGUGAAAUGCGUAGAUAUUAGGAGGAACACCAGUGGCGAAGGCGGCUUACUGGACGGUAACUGACGUUGAGGCUCGAAAGCGUGGGUAGCAAACA